UGCCCCAUGGCUGAGUUGGUCACAGCGUCCGACUGUUACUUCCCGCAAUCGGAAGGUCGUGAGUUCGAGCCUCACUGGGGCAG